ACGCCCGACACCUACAGGAGGCAGCAGUAGGGAAUCUUCCACAAUGGACGCAAGUCUGAUGGAGCAACGCCGCGUGAGUGAAGAAGGUUUUCGGAUCGUAAAGCUCUGUUGUUGGUGAAGAAGGAUAGAGGUAGUAACUGGCCUUUAUUUGACGGUAAUCAACCAGAAAGUCACGGCUAACUACGUCNCGCAGCCGCGGUAAUCUGAGCGGGCUGGCAAGGC
rnacentral:rRNA from 1 species